rnacentral:lncRNA from 1 species
CACAAGGAAGAAUAUUGAAAACUAAUUAAGAACAAAGUUUAGGAAUAGACUACAAAAAUGAAGCCAAAACAGUUUCUGAACUUGGUUGUCGUUUUGACCCCGAAAAAUUGAGCAACGACCAAAGAUACCGACAGGAACCGAAAGCGACAGAAGCUCGAUCAAAAUCUCAUGCCAACAACGAAUUGACCUUUUCUCUGUUAUCUUGGAAAAACACGACGAUGCUACGUGACCGGAGGACGGAACCUCAACCGCAGCCCUGCGAUAACCUCGAACAAAAUAUUUUUAUGAUCUACUCCGGCGAUUGUUGAACGUUUGUCGGAGUGGCGGAGUAGCUGGCAGCCUAUAUCGGAGGCUGGACUGGCGGAGCAGCGGAUGUGAAUGUCCAAAAAAAGAGAAGGUCGAAGCUUUUCGUUUUCUAUUUUCUGUUAAGUCUUCGUAAAGAGAAGCUAUAGAAAUUGGGGGGUCGUUUGGGAUGAAGUCAAGGAACAACAGUUGGAGAUCGGGGUCGUUUGGCUGUGUGCUGUUGAGCCGGCAGCUAUGGGCGUUGGGUGGCGGCGGUUCUUGUUGUUGUUGCUUGGUGGUCUUAAAUGGAGGUAUGGAGAUGGUGAAGUUGGCGUAGGAGAUGGUGGGGAAGGGAGAUGCGGCUUGUUUUUUAAUGGAAGCUAGGGUUUUCUUAUUUUAAGUUUCAUUGUUGUAUUAAGGUAGAGGUCUAAAGGUUGAAGAUGGGGUGAGGGAUGGCAGCUGAAGGUUUUCUAGGGUUUUUCCAUUGUUCUCUUCUUGAUAUGGUGAUAAAGAAGAUCAUAAGCUAGGGUUUUUGUAGUGUGUAUUAAGGUUAGGAAAAAAAAG